GUGCACUUGCCAACUUUUAUGGAAUUUUUUUUUUCAUGUCAGGAGCAACGUGAGAAACUGCGAGUCGCUUCUGUUGUGAGAUAAUUGGUCAUCUGCAAGGACGUUGCUCCGGGUACACCCACAUGUUUGAUGUUUUACCAUCCUCGUGGGAGGCUUCUCUCACGUCCCCGCAUGGGAAGCUGGAACUGACAGAGGGAGCUCACCCACUCUCCCCAGAUUCGAACCACCGACCUGUCGACCUGUCGAAGAUCAGCUGAACAAGAAGCUAGAGAUCCAUCAAUCAGUCUUACAUCUAUCUAGGUUAGGCUCAGCUACUCAUUCAACUAACAUCUCCAC
rnacentral:lncRNA from 11 species